rnacentral:rRNA from 1 species
UACGUAGGGUGCGAGCGUUAAUCGGAAUUACUGGGCGUAAAGCGUGCGUAGACGGUCAUGUAAGUCGGGUGUGAAAGCCCCGGGCUCAACCUGGGAAUUGCAUUCGAGACUGCAUGGCUAGGGUGCGGAAGAGGGAAGCGGAAUUUCCGGUGUAGCGGUGAAAUGCGUAGAUAUCAGGAGGAAUACCGAUGGCGAAGGCAGGUCUCUGGGCUGACACUGACGCUCAUGCACGAAAGCGUGGGGAGCAAACAGG